rnacentral:lncRNA from 1 species
UCAUGAGAAUGUGCACCCAAUUAAUAACUCUUAAAAAAACUAGAAAGCGACUCAAUAUCCUUACAGAUUUAACAAAUCAAUUUCAAACGAAAUAAACAAAUGAGAGUAGAGAAGACUAGUGGACAAAAUCAUAACACAGCCAUAAAGUGUCAAAAAAGCCACAAAGUCACAACUCUUCAACGGCGACCCUUCAUCUUAAAGUCAUUGUCACUUUCUGUUGUAUAAAAAUGAAAUAUAUCACGCGAAUGAACCAAGUCCAGUGGAUUAUACUUUCCCUGUUUUGCAAUUUGUACUUCCAAGAAAACAAACUUUCGUGUUUUGAAUUUGAAAGAUAGCAUCACCCUUUUUCAACUCAAAAAGGAUUGAAAUAGAACAUUAAACUCAAAGCAGAAGCUUCAACCUAUGAGAAUUGACUAACACCUUACAAAAAAUCUAAUAAUUAUUGACGACGCACUGAAGGUUUAAGCCAUACAAGAAUCAAGUAAAACGACAAAGCUCAUCAAGCAAGGCCCAGCAUCAGUAAACAACAAAGAAAAAAUAUGAAUCAAAACCAUCGGAAGGAACUGUUUAGGUAUUCUAGGUAUCGAUUCAUGUCAAACCCCCAGGUUCAUUCUUAAUUGAAUUCAGAAUUCCUGGACAUAAGGACAACCUGAAUUGGUGAGCCAAGACAAUUGAAAAGGCACUCGAGCACAGGAAAAAAUGUUAAAUAAGGCAGUUGAAGUAUGGCAAUUUCAACAGAAAUCAAUGCAGCUUUGUACCUAAAAUACAACGCAAAGAAAGCAAAUCCGCAAUAUUACACAGGCUUCAUAUGAUGUUUUGUUAAAGAAGUUCAAUGACAGAAUUCUCAUGCAAAAAAAAAAAAAAACACAUGAACACCCACUGGUCCUUCAACAUGGGGAGCCUCAAAGAUCAAAUAUCAAUGACAGAAUUCUCAUGCAAAAAAAAAAAAAAAACAUGAACACCCACUGGUCCUUCAACAUGGUGAGCCUCAAAGAUCAAAUAUUAUCCAAUGGGAACUUCAACAGCUUUAAACUAGCAGAAAUAUGCAGCAUGAUCAUAUAUCCAGAUAAAGGGGAAACACUUUAGUGAUCAAUGUAGAACUUGUCGAAACAAAAUAGUAGAUACAUUCAGAGUCGUGCAAGUAGGCUGCCUUGAUAGUGCAAACAGGGCAGCUGUCUCAAUUCAUCAAGGUUCAGAAUGAUUACUUAGUUUCGAGUCCCUAACAACUGCUAUCAAUUAGCCUAUACUCGAUGACAGUCCCAAAAUUUUGGUGCAAAGGUAAGCUCAUACUUUCAACCAGCAGAACGUGCAAAUAUGGUCGAGGGAUUAGGGAAAACGAAACCAUUCAAUGAUUCAUGUCGAACAUAUUGAAACUAAGACAGAAAAUACAAGCAGAUUGACUUAAAUAUUAAAGAACAUCAUAUGCAAGAGAUGAAGCAGAGAAGAUCAUCUUAUGAAAACAUCCUGAGAAUAAACGUCAUAGUUUCAGGCUCGCUUAGCAAUCAUGGAAGUUGAACACACCAUUCAUUUGAAGGCGACGAAACCUUGACUCAAAUGAAACUCGACAUCACAAUAACAUUUUAACAAAAGAAAAUGACCACUCAAAAUCAAUUUCUACUAACUGAAAAUAUUCAAGUGCAUCACACCACUGAGAAGCAGUUCAACAACAAAAAGAAUCACGCACAGAACCAAACAUCAUUCUGGACAAAAUAUCACUGCUCAAAAUACUUUAUAACAGAGAGGCGAAAGAUAAAGAAAUCAAACCUGAAAUUUCAAAAUCUUUCUGAUAAAUAUAUUCUCGACAAUACACCUUUUCAUUCCGAAUCCUAUCAAGGUUCAAUAGUGAUCAACAGAACAACAGUAGAAACAUAGCUCUAACUUCAAUUUGUAUCUUCCAGGAACUCAAAUUCAGAUUCAAAAAUAAUAAGAAAAAAUUGUAUCUAUAUUUUUCUUAACCUUUAAUGACCAUGUCAAAGAAAAUCAACUCGGAAAAUCAAUUUGUUCACAGAAAACGUUUACACCCUUUUCUCUCAAUUUUUUUAAGCCCCCCAUCCUCCUUCAAAAUUGGAUUGAGCUUCUUUUGAAAAUGAAUCCUUGAUGAAUGUGGGGCUUGGAUUGAGUGAAAUCAAUCUAAC